CUAUAAAUCCCCUCUUUUCUCGGGUGAUUACCAUUAUCAUAGCCUUCCUCACCUCCCACCUUCUUCUUCCUCACCUCUAGCAGCUGCCGAACUCCAUAAUCAAAUCACUUUUGCUUGGAAAUCCUUCUUUAAUCCUUACUAUCUUCUCUGUUUUCGAGCAUUAUUACCAUCAGGAUUCUUCACUGCCAGCAGUUCGACCAAAUCACCGCCACUAACCACUACCACACCACCACUGCCAUGGACCUCAU
rnacentral:lncRNA from 1 species